ensembl:lncRNA
UUCUUGACAUUUAAUAGCAUAUUGGUUUGGGCUACAAUGGUAUGGAGGAUCAAACCUGCAGAGAUUAAAGAUGCAUUAAUAAUUUGUUGAAAAAAUGUAAUAAAAAUAAGUAAAGAAAUAAAUUAUUUGAUUAAAACAAAUAUAGUUAAUUUGUAAUAAAAUGUAAUCCUGAAUUAAUUUUUUAUUAUCUUCAUGUAUUAUGUUCAGUACUUAUUUUUUAUUCUUUAACUUUUAUUUACAUAUUCUUUCAUUUAUUAAUUUAAUAUAUGCAUUUUUUAUUGUUAAAUGUAUUUAUUCAUGCAUUUUUAUUUUUUUAUAAUUUAUUCCCACAUGUAUUUAUUAUUAUUAAUUACAUCCAAGAUUUUUUUUUUAAUUCCAUCAGCUGCUGAAUCUAUUUUUUUAAUCACUAUGAUACACCUAUAAUAAUUUUAGAUUCUGACUAUUUUAGACUGGUUUGGGUAGGUACCGCUGCAGAGUAGCCCAGUACCUGCGUGAUUUGUCAUAGACAUAAACAGAGAAAAGUAGCUCCGGCUUCAAUGUUCUUCCACAAGACGGACGCAGUUCUGUUUACUAACCACUAGAGCACCAAAAGUUACAGACUGCAGAUUUAAUUGCUGUCAUUCGUUCUCGAAAUAGAAAGUGAUCAAAACAUUUAUACAGACCACAACCUUACAACAAAGACUAUACAGUUUAGCUCUUCUGAGUAUUGAGAAUGCCUAUGGUUGUUAAAGCUGCAGUGAAAAAAAGUAUUCUGUAAAGUUUUGUUAGUUUAUUUCUGGUUGUCAGUUGAUGAAAUGUAAAAAAAAAAAAAAUAAGUGCACUUUUUUUACAAUGUGGAAUUUUUCCCUCUUGCCUCUGUAUACACAAAUCCGCCGCAAACUCUAUGGGCGCCGCCAUCUUGCCUGCCGCCAUUACUGCGUGCCUGCGAGGUGUGACGGUGUGACACUUGCCGGUGCCCUCUAAUGACAUUUCAAUGAAAGCGGAUCCUGCUCAUUAAAGAAAAUGUCUGGUGAAAGGGAAAAUUGGGUAGAUGAUGUCAGGCAGUGGCCAAAACUUACUGAUAAAG